GAUGAACGCUGGCGGCGUGCCUAAUACAUGCAAGUCGAGCGAACGGACGAGAAGCUUGCUUCUCUGAUGUUAGCGGCGGACGGGUGAUUAACACGUGGAUAACCUACCUAUAAGACUGGGAUAACUUCGGGAAACCGGAGCUAAUACCGGAUAAUAUUUUGAACCGCAUGGUUCAAAAGUGAAAGACGGUCUUGCUUUCACUUAUAGAUGGAUCCGCGCUGCAUUAGCUAGUUGGUAAGGUAACGGCUUACCAAGGCAACGAUGCAUAGCCGACCUGAGAGGGUGAUCGGCCACACUGGAACUGAGACACGGUCCAGACUCCUACGGGAGGCAGCAGUAGGGAAUCUUCCGCAAUGGGCGAAAGCCUGACGGAGCAACGCCGCGUGAGUGAUGAAGGUCUUCUGAUCGUAAAACUCUGUUAUUAGGGAAGAACAUAUGUGUAAGUAACUGUGCACAUCUUGACGGUACCUAAUCAGAAAGCCACGGCUAACUACGUG
rnacentral:rRNA from 1 species